GAAGUUCGCCAGGCAGUCGCUGCGUGCCAUGUGUGCGUGGAGGAAAGUCCGGGCCCCGCAGAGCAGGAUGCCGGCUAACGGCCGGGCGCCGUGAGGCGACGGAAAGUGCAACAGAGAGCAGACCGCCGAUGGCUCUUGUCGAGGAGUUCGCUCUUCGCGGAGCACAGGUAAGGGUGAAACGGUGCGGUGACGCGCGCAAGCGCGGCGCCGGUCGGAGCGCAAGCUUCGGCGGGUAAGAGCCCACCGCAGGACUGGCAACAGGACUGGCACGGUAAACCCCAUCCGGGGCAAGGCCAAAUAGGGGAGCAUUGGCGUGGCUCGCGUCGCUCCCGGGUAGGCUGCUAGAGCGCCGCGGUAACGCGGCCCCCAGAGGAAUGACUGCCCGGCGACUGCGGCUUGCCGCGGUCGUUCGACAGAACCCGGCUUAUCGGCGAACUUCCCAA
rnacentral:RNase_P_RNA from 15 species